UUGGCUCAGAACGAACGCUGGCGGCAGGCCUAACACAUGCAAGUCGAACGGUAACAGAAAGCAGCUUGCUGCUUUGCUGACGAGUGGCGGACGGGUGAGUAAUGUCUGGGAAACUGCCCGAUGGAGGGGGAUAACUACUGGAAACGGUAGCUAAUACCGCAUAACGUCUUCGGACCAAAGAGGGGGACCUUCGGGCCUCUUGCCAUCGGAUGUGCCCAGAUGGGAUUAGCUAGUAGGUGGGGUAACGGCUCACCUAGGCGACGAUCCCUAGCUGGUCUGAGAGGAUGACCAGCCACACUGGAACUGAGACACGGUCC
rnacentral:rRNA from 1 species